rnacentral:rRNA from 1 species
UGGGGAAUAUUGGACAAUGGGACGCAAGCCUGAUCCAGCCAUGCCGCGUGAGUGACGAAGGUCUUCGGAUUGUAAAGCUCUUUUGGCGGGGACGAUAAUGACGGUACCCGCAGAAUAAGCCCCGGCUAACUUCGUGCCAGCAGCCGCGGUAAUACGAAGGGGGCUAGCGUUGUUCGGAAUUACUGGGCGUAAAGCGCACGUAGGCGGACUGAUAAGUCAGGGGUGAAAUCCCGGGGCUCAACCUCGGAACUGCCUUUGAUACUGUUAGUCUCGAGUCCGGAAGAGGUGAGUGGAAUUCCUAGUGUAGAGGUGAAAUUCGUAGAUAUUAGGAAGAACACCAGUGGCGAAGGCGGCUCACUGGUCCGGUACUGACGCUGAGGUGCGAAAGCGUGGGGAGCAAACAGGAUUAGAUACCCAAGUAGUCCCUGAGCGGGCUGGCAAGGCGCAU